rnacentral:rRNA from 1 species
GUGCCAGCCGCCGCGGUAAUACGGAGGGGGCGAGCGUUAUUCGGAAUUAUUGGGCGUAAAGGGCGCGUAGGCGGCCUUGCAAGUCAAAGGUGAAAUCCCUCGGCUCAACUGAGGAACUGCCUUUGAAACUGCAAGGCUUGAGGCCGGGAGGGGGUAGCGGAAUUCCCAGUGUAGCGGUGAAAUGCGUAGAUAUUGGGAGGAACACCAGUGGCGAAGGCGGCUACCUGGACCGGUUCUGACGCUGAUGCGCGAAAGCGUGGGUAGCAAACAGGAUUAGAAACCCCAGUAGUCC